AGGUAAGCUACUAAGAGCGAAUGGUGGAUGCCUUGACUGGUAAAGGCGAUGAAGGACGUACUAGACUGCGAUAAGCUACGGGGAGCUGUCAAGAAGCUUUGAUCCGUAGAUUUCCGAAUGGGGCAACCCAAUGUAUAGAGAUAUACAUUACCUAUAUAGGAGCGAACGAGGGGAAUUGAAACAUCUUAGUACCCUCAGGAAAAGAAAUCAAUAGAGAUUGCGUCAGUAGCGGCGAGCGAAAGCGCAAGAGGGCAAACCCAGUGCUUGCACUGGGGGUUGUAGGACUGCAAUGUGCAAGAGGUAAGUUUAGCAGAACAUUCUGGAAAGUAUAACCAUAGAGGGUGAUAGUCCCGUAUGCGAAAAACAAACCUUAGCUAGCAGUAUCCUGAGUAGGGCGGGACACGAGGAAUCCUGUCUGAAUCCGGGUCGACCACGAUCCAACCCUAAAUACUAAUACCAGAUCGAUAGUGCACAAGUACCGUGAGGGAAAGGUGAAAAGAACUGAGGUGAUCAGAGUGAAAUAGAACCUGAAACCAUUUGCUUACAAUCAUUCAGAGCCCUAUGUAGCAAUACAGGGUGAUGGACUGCCUUUUGCAUAAUGAGCCUGCGAGUUGUGGUGUCUGGCAAGGUUAAGCAAACGCGAAGCCGUAGCGAAAGCGAGUCUGAAUAGGGCGCUUAGUCAGAUGCUGCAGACCCGAAACGAAGUGAUCUAUCCAUGAGCAAGUUGAAGCUAGUGUAAGAACUAGUGGAGGACUGAACCCAUAGGCGUUGAAAAGCCCCGGGAUGACUUGUGGAUAGGGGUGAAAGGCCAAUCAAACUUCGUGAUAGCUGGUUCUCUCCGAAAUAUAUUUAGGUAUAGCGUUGUGUCGUAAUAUAAGGGGGUAGAGCACUGAAUGGGCUAGGGCAUACACCAAUGUACCAAACCCUAUCAAACUCCGAAUACCUUAUAUGUAAUCACAGCAGUCAGGCGGCGAGUGAUAAAAUCCGUCGUCAAGAGGGAAACAACCCAGACUACCAGCUAAGGUCCCUAAAUCUUACUUAAGUGGAAAACGAUGUGAAGUUACUUAAACAACCAGGAGGUUGGCUUAGAAGCAGCCAUCCUUUAAAGAAAGCGUAAUAGCUCACUGGUCUAGUGAUUUUGCGCGGAAAAUAUAACGGGGCUAAAGUAAGUACCGAAGCUGUAGACUUAGUUUACUAAGUGGUAGGAGAGCGUUCUAUUUGCGUCGAAGGUAUACCGGUAAGGAGUGCUGGAGCGAAUAGAAGUGAGCAUGCAGGCAUGAGUAGCGAUAAUUAAUGUGAGAAUCAUUAACGCCGUAAACCCAAGGUUUCCUACGCGAUGCUCGUCAUCGUAGGGUUAGUCGGGUCCUAAGUCGAGUCCGAAAGGGGUAGACGAUGGCAAAUUGGUUAAUAUUCCAAUACCAACAUUAGUGUGCGAUGGAAGGACGCUUAGGGCUAAGGGGGCUAGCGGAUGGAAGUGCUAGUCUAAGGUCGUAGGAGGUUAUACAGGCAAAUCCGUAUAACAAUACUCCGAGAACUGAAAGGCUUUUUGAAGUCUUCGGAUGGAUAGAAGAACCCCUGAUGCCGUCGAGCCAAGAAAAGUUUCUAAGUUUAGCUAAUGUUGCCCGUACCGUAAACCGACACAGGUGGGUGGGAUGAGUAUUCUAAGGCGCGUGGAAGAACUCUCUUUAAGGAACUCUGCAAAAUAGCACCGUAUCUUCGGUAUAAGGUGUGGUUAGCUUUGUAUUAGGAUUUACUCCGAAAGCAAGGAAACUUACAACAAAGAGUCCCUCCCGACUGUUUACCAAAAACACAGCACUCUGCUAACUCGUAAGAGGAUGUAUAGGGUGUGACGCCUGCCCGGUGCUCGAAGGUUAAUUGAUGGGGUUAGCAUUAGCGAAGCUCUUGAUCGAAGCCCGAGUAAACGGCGGCCGUAACUAUAACGGUCCUAAGGUAGCGAAAUUCCUUGUCGGUUAAAUACCGACCUGCAUGAAUGGCGUAACGAGAUGGGAGCUGUCUCAAAGAGGGAUCCAGUGAAAUUGUAGUGGAGGUGAAAAUUCCUCCUACCCGCGGCAAGACGGAAAGACCCCGUGGACCUUUACUACAGCUUGACACUGCUACUUGGAUAAGAAUGUGCAGGAUAGGUGGGAGGCUUUGAGUAUAUGACGCCAGUUGUAUAUGAGCCAUUGUUGAGAUACCACUCUUUCUUAUUUGGGUAGCUAACCAGCUUGAGUUAUCCUCAAGUGGGACAAUGUCUGGUGGGUAGUUUGACUGGGGCGGUCGCCUCCCAAAUAAUAACGGAGGCUUACAAAGGUUGGCUCAGAACGGUUGGAAAUCGUUCGUAGAGUAUAAAGGUAUAAGCCAGCUUAACUGCAA
rnacentral:rRNA from 1 species